GACAGCCAGGAUGUUGGCUUAGAAGCAGCCAUCAUUUAAAGAAAGCGUAAUAGCUCACUGGUCGAGUCGGCCUGCGCGGAAGAUGUAACGGGGCUAAACCAUGCACCGAAGCUGCGGCAGCGACGCUUAUGCGUUGUUGGGUAGGGGAGCGUUCUGUAAGCCUGUGAAGGUGUGCUGUGAGGCAUGCUGGAGGUAUCAGAAGUGCGAAUGCUGACAUAAGUAACGAUAAAGCGGGUGAAAAGCCCGCUCGCCGGAAGACCAAGGGUUCCUGUCCAACGUUAAUCGGGGCAGGGUGAGUCGACCCCUAAGGCG
rnacentral:rRNA from 1 species